rnacentral:lncRNA from 1 species
GCCAUGUGAGGACUUGGUCAGUCCAACACUCAGUUAGUUUUAGAAUCUCCACUGUGGGGACCCUCAGGAUUACCCAACCCAGCCACGCACAUGAUACCUGGAGAUGACUUAUUGGCAUAACCCUGGAGCACAAAAUGAUAGUAGAUGUGUAUCUGAGAUACAGCCUAUUGAUGUAUUGAAAACAACCUGAAAUACCAUCUUCUGAAAUACAUUCUGGAAGAUAUAUGAAUUGGAUCUGAAAUAUUGCAGCAGGUGCUAAAGGCUUGGUCACCAGCCUGGGGUGCUGUGGGAGGGAGCGGAGCCUUUAGGAGGCGGGGCCUGGUGGGAAGAAGCGAGGUCACAGAGGUAUGGCCUGGAAGGGGAUAUCAGGACACCUCUU